GUGGAGCGGUGAAAGGCUCAGUAACGGGCGAGUUAUUUGUUCUCCUGGGACGGACAACACCGGGAAACUGGUGGGAAAACGUCUAAGUUGCGGUUUUUUAAUCGUGGCGUAAACCAUGUGGUGCAGGAGAGUAAGCUGCCAUCCUAUCAGUUAGUAAGUAGGGUAAGGGCCUACUUAGACGAAGACGGGUACGGGGAAUGAGGGUUUGAUUCCGGAGAGGGAGCCUGAGAGACGGCUACCAGGACCAAGGUCAGCAGCAGGCGCGAAAAUUAUCGAAGCCCGCGUAGGGGCGAUAGUGAGGAGACGUGUAUUACGAAGUGUGUGUAAAGAACGCACUAAUAACUGGAGGUCAAGUCUGGUGCCAGCAUCCGCGGUAAUUCCAGCUCCAGGGGUGUCUAUGAUGAUUGCUGCGAUUAAAAAGUCCGUAGUCAAGCUGACUGACUUGCCUGCAAUGUGACUGAUUAAGAGACGAGCAGGGCUAGGAAAGCAGAGAAUUAGGAGCGACCGAGGGCUAGAGUAUUGAAUGGCGAGAGGUGAAAUUUGAUGACCCAUUCAGGAGUGACAAAGGCGAAGGCACUAGUCAAGGGCGAAUCCGAUGAUCAAGGACGUAGGCUAGAGUUUCGAAAACGAUUAGAGACCGGAGUAGUUCUAGCAGUAAACUAUGCCGACGCCGUGGUAUGGUAUUCUGUAUUGCGGAAGAGAAAUCAAGUAAGGCUUUGGGGAGAGUACGCGCGCAAGCGAUAAAUUUAAAGGAAAUUGACGGAGGAACACCACAAGGAGUGGAGUGUGCGGCUUAAUUUGACUCAACGCGGGACAGCUUACCAGGCCCGAUAAUCAUACGAGCGUAGUACGCGAUAGGUUAGAGAGUGGUGCAUGGCUGCUAUCGACAGUUGGGGUGACCUUAGGGUUAAUUCCGGCAAGUAGUGAGACCUCUGCAGUUAUGGACAGGUAUUUUUAAGAUACAGGAAGGAAGAGACAAGAGCAGGUCAGUGAUGCCCUUAGAUGGCCUGGGCUGCACGCGCACUACAGUGGUCAUUAUAAGUAGAA
rnacentral:rRNA from 1 species